UCCUGCCAUUUAGUCCUGUUCCACAGCUGGGGGGUAGCUGAGGUGGGGAAGGAUCACUUCUUGUAUCCUCACUGAUUUGUUCUCUGCCCAGUAGUUACUAAACACUCUGGGCCUGACUCCUCCAGGGCCAGAAACAGAGAUGAAGACACUGAUCAGAAGCUUCUCAGGAGAAGAGCAGUGAGUGCCCUCCACAACAGGACGAACACCAGGGCAGAGGAGGACAUAGAUGGACAUCAGUCUUCUUCGAUGAAGUUCCCCCUAAGAUCUCCGUUGACCGUACUCUCUUCUUCAAAGGCCCUACCUCCGAAUACAGUCACAUUUUGAGGGACUGGGGGCUUAGAGCUUCACCAUAUGAAUUUGGGGGGCUGCAAUUCAGCCCGGAAUAGGCAGUCAGAGCCGGAGGGUUCCUGGGCUGCUGUGUGCCACGACCACCUGGUGUACCCAGCACUGGAGCCAACGGCCCCUAGGGGGGCAGACAACUGUGGCCACUUUCUGCUGGUCUGGGGACCCAUGAGACUCUUGGCAUGUUAUCAGCCUUGAAAACCUACACGUCUUUGCCAGAGAGGCUGUUGGGCCUUCUGAACAUUUGCAGGGCUGCUUUAUUUCCUUGGUUCACAUUUACUAUCAGUAGCCAUCCUUAAAACACAAGGGUGUGUGUGCAUUUUUGAGACUGGGAGCAAAACUGGGACACUUGCCCUUGAGAGAGAAAAGGCACUGUGUCAGUGAGAGGCACUCCAGGAUAAGUCCUGAUAUAAGAAGGAGCCACGGGGAUGGAGAAGCUGGUCCCUGGGGAGUAUACCUGGAAGGAAGUCUUCUAUAAACCUUGACACCCUCUGGUCAUUUUCCUGUCCUAAUCCUAAGUAUUAAGCCUCUUGGCAGGAGGCCUGUUAGAUGCUGAGCAGGACAAGGGCUCCUUUAUUUUUAAAGGAAAACACUCUGCUCUUCAGAAGCUAACAGUCUAUUUGGGUAAACAUUCUAUGCACCCACAUAGCAAUUGAAGGCAACCAAGAAUGAGCUCCCCCAAAUACACUAAUAUUGGUAAAUGUUUAUCAUCUGUAUUGCUUCUUUCAUCUCAAGGCUCAUUUACAUAAAUAAAACACAUUUCUAAAUCCCGAGUUUUCUCCUAUCUGUUCUCCAA